rnacentral:rRNA from 1 species
CGCGGUGAAUACGUUCCCGGGUCUUGUACACACCGCCCGUCAAGCCAUGGAAGCUGGGUGUACCUAAAGUCGGUAACCGUAAGGAGCCGCCUAGGGUAAAACUAGUGACUGGGGCU